AUUUUUUUUCUUUUUUUUUUCUCGAACAACGCAGAGGUCAGUCUCACAGAGAGCAACUUCUAAACUGCACCCUUGAAGGAUUUUCAUGCUCCAUUCUAUUUUUGUUUGUAUACAUGGGAACUCCAGGAUACUCUCACAUCGCCCUUGCCACUACAGCCUACAAUAAAGAUUUGCAGGUAGCAGUCCUGCAGUUGCUGCUUGUCAUUGAGUUGUGGUGGCUUCCUAGGGUUAUGGAGCUGCCAUGCUUGUUGGCUGUUGCCAAGACUGGAUUCCAAAAGCUGCCAUCUCCUUUACGUGCCAUUGCCUUCCACCAAAGUCCACGUUGUUUCCUCCAGCCGCAGAGCUGCUUCAUUGUAUGAACUAUGAAGUAUCCUGUUUGACUGCUAGCAUGCAUUUGAUGUUUGGGA
rnacentral:misc_RNA from 1 species